AGGCUCCAGGCGGUCAGCACAGAGCCCGACGCGGGGCUCGAACUCACAGACUGAGAGAUCAUGACCUGAGCCGAAGUCAGACAGUUAACCGACUGAGCCACCCAGGCGCCCCCGCUUGCUGCCUUUCUGGUGUGGCCGGGACAGCCAAACAAAAUGGGAGGAAGAGCCAGAAGUCACGAAUGCCAUUUCUUUUUUUUUUAUUAUUAUUAUUUUUAAGAAGCCACAAUAAAAAUAUUUUGGUAUUUUAAAGCCAAAUGGAUUCUUUAUACCGAUUAAAACCGGAAGGAGAUAGGGUAUGUUCUUUGUGUGAUAUUCCACUGAAAGCACAUCUUACGCAGGGCUAGGAGCUAAAGACAGUGAGAAAGGUAUACCUGGCCUUAAAAAUACUCCCGAAGAUCCUGGAAAUUUUCCAUAAAGAACAUGGUAUGACUUAUACUGUACCACAUCCCCAAAGUCCAAAACAAGUUUUUUUCUAGCACCAGAAAAGAUCACUUAGUCAGGCAGCCGUUCAAGUAGCUGGCUCAUGUCUGGAAGCCAAAUCGUGUGGGAAAAGAUGUUUUUGUUGGUUGCACAUGUGUAUUUGAAUUUGCGUAAGGUAAACGCAAUGUAUGACUUCACUGUAUUUUACGCCUUCUGAGGACACGUUAAUUUUUACCCUAUCACAUUACAGCCCACGAUGGCAAUCUCUUCUCUCCACUCCUCGAACUAGAUACACCAUUUUGAGGAUGUCUCCCUGAAAACGCACCCCCACCCCCUCCACCAAUCAGAUUUGUCCUACCUAAUGCGGUUCUUUUGGCCACACCCUAUUGGCUGAGCAGUACAUCCCCAAGCCAGGCCAGACCAAUCAGCUUUCUCUUCUAACUCAAGCUGGGCUAAUGCUAUCUUUGCCAUUGGUGCUUGAAAGAUGGCCACUGGGAUGCCACGCAGAUCGUUCCUUAACGGCACUGGAGCUGAAAGUCGAUGCAGUUCCAGGGCUGGAGUGGCCAUUUCCCCACUCGUGCUCGGAGAAACAAAAACCAGCCUUCAGAAGGAGAAGGGUGGGGUAGAUACACAACAAGAAAGGCAAGAAACCAGGACUCCCAGAGAGACAGUGACACGGACACCACAAGCCCCCCAGUCAUCGCCUUCCUCCACCGUAUGGGCUGAAGCCUGAACGCCUUGAUUGCACAGCCUCCCUUGCAACUAGAGCUGGCCAUGUUGUUCAGUUCUGGCCAAUGACCUGUGAGCCAAGGCCCGUGGGGAGGACUUACCUUCUGUAAUAAUAAAAGGCAAGUCUCCACUAGGAAAGAGUAUUUUGCCCUUUGUCCCUUUGCCUUGUCUCCUUUUUCAUCCCUGGAGCUCAGGCUUGGAGCUGCAGCGGCCAUCUUGGACAACGUCAGGUGACAGGCAAGAGGCCGGCGCUCACCUCCAAGGACAGAGGAGUGAAGGACAAGGAAGGCCUGGCAAGUGCCUGCCGGCUGCCCUGAACUCCGCGCCCUGCCUGCAUUGCCUCCCUCUGUGCCCGUUGCCGUGUCCCACAAACCCCUGUUUGAGCCACCACAGGCAGGCGCACCCGUUUGUGCCAUGGAGCAAACCGCUCAAAACUUAGUGAUGGAAAAUGACAAAGAUUUAUUAUUUCUCGUGGGUCCGUGUGUCGAGCCGUGAUUCCACGGCACUUGUACUGAUCUGGGCUGGCUUGGCUGCAGUUGGAUGGUUUAGGGUGACCCCACUUACAUGCCUGGUCGCUGGUAGGCAAGUUGGGUUAAGGGGGUGGCUCCCAUACAGGGGCAGUUUUGCACCCCUCCCCCCAGGGAACACUAGGGCAACAUCUGGACACAGUUUGGGUUGUCACGACUGGAGGGGUCCAAGGAUGCUGCUGAACGUCCCAGAGUGCACAGAACGGCCUCCCCACGGCAAAAACUCACUUGAUCCAAAGUGUCAGUAGUACCAAGAAUGAGAAAUUCUGGUCUAGAGAGGCCUCAGCCGGGACCUUUUGGUUCCGUUUGUCAUGGCCUCUCAUCACCGAGCAGGCUAGACCAGGCCUUUUCACAGGGCGGUGGGCACGCGUUCCCAGAGCAGCAGGAGAGAGCAAGCCCCCAAGCACAAAUACUUAUCAAGUGUCUGUGCCUGGUGUUGGUUAGCAUCCCAUCAAACAAAAGCAAAUCACACGGCCAGAGUCAUUUUGGGAGGGGCUCCAAAUUUUUACAGUCUGCCCACAUUCGGUUUUCUGUUAUUUGAAGCUGAAGGCAUUCCAAGGACACAGAUUGAUUACCUUGAUUGCUGACGACUGUCUGGCUCCCAGUUUUUUUCUUGGGGAAGGCCAAUUUCAAUGCCCGCCCUUGGGUUCCACUAGGACCCUUUGUAUCACUUAAGAUUCUUUGGUUGCCAACAACAGAAACCUCCUGUAGCUCACUCCCGCGGAAAGGGAGUUUACUCACAGAAAAUGAGGAAGCUUAAGAAUCAAAGGACAAACAAAGCAGAAGAGGCAGGGCGGUCAGGAGCCGGCUUUUCUUCCCCAUGGAUGCCCGCCCUUCCCUUCAGUUGGUUUGACUUUCUGUUAUUGGCAACCAACAUCUCCUUUACCGAGACACUGCCUCCACCGGGUGGCUGGGAGAAGCUGCCUGCAGCCUCUCCCCCGGGGUAGAGGGUACCUGCGGUCCCCAAAGCCUCCCAAUCUUCUGGUCCCCCAAGAAGCUGAGGCAAACAACUUCCUUCCACCCUCGCCGAUGGUGGCCUGUUUGGAUUCUUGGAUUCGUGACUUCACAGAUAAGAUGCCCUUCCCUAGCAGCUUUUGGCAAAGCCACCCAUGCCGGCUGCUGUGAGAACUGGAGUCAUGAGUGUCUGCAGAAAAAAAUAGCUUCCAGAUCUGCAUUCCAAAGCGUGCUCCUGCCUGCCCAGUUGAGCACAUGAACUCAUUGGAAAGAUGAUGUUGGUUCUCAAGGAGAUUCACCGCAUCCAAGAAAAGCACAAAAAGAGAGCUCUACAGAUGGAUAGGUGGGGUCCUGAUGACCUACACAUGGGUCUACCUGCAGCUGGUGCCCGAUGCCCCUGUCCUGCCAGGCAGCCACACGAGCACCUGCCUCAAGCGGGUCCCCCCGCCCCCACUGUGCACCCUGUGUACAACUUCCAGACUUUGCAGGAGGCGAGAAAGCCCCUGAGACCAACCCGGCUGUGACCCCAUACCCUGUUCUCACUCCUCCAAUCACUCAAAAGAGUUAUCGGGGCUGUCCCUGAACCUUGACCUCUGUGUAUCUUUCUCAAUCAGUCAAGGGGUUCCCGGUGCUUUUGGAGAGCGUUUGUGAUGAUUAAUCAGUAAGCUGGUAUUUAUAAAGUG